GCAAGUUCGCACGAGNAAAGAGGGAGCAAUCUCUCCGGUAAAGUGGCGCACGGGUGAGUAACACGUGGAUCAUCCACCUUCUUGUGGGGAAUAACCUGGGGAAACCCGAGCUAAUACCGCAUAAGCCCGAGAGGGGAAAGCAGCAAUGCGCAGGAAGAGGAGUCCGCGGUCGAUUAGCUAGUUGGUAGGGUAAAGGCCUACCAAGGCUAUGAUCGAUAGCCGGCCUGAGGGGGCACACGGCCACACUGGCACUGAAACACGGGCCAGACUCCUACGGGAGGCAGCAGUGGGGAAUCUUGCACAAUGGGGGAAACCCUGAUGCAGCGACGCCGCGCGGGUGAUGAAGUCCUUCGGGAUGUAAAGCCCUUUCGACGGGAACGAUAAUGACGGUACCCGGAGAAGAAGCUGCGGCUAACUACGUGCCAGCAGCCGCGGUAAUACGUAGGCAGCAAGCGUUGUUCGGAGUUACUGGGCGUAAAGAGUAUGUAGGCGGUUGGGUA
rnacentral:rRNA from 1 species